AUUGAACGCUGGCGGCAGGCUUAACACAUGCAAGUCGAACGAGUGGCGGACGGGUGAGUAAUGCUUGGGAAUCUAGCUUAUGGAGGGGGAUAACUACGGGAAACUGUAGCUAAUACCGCGUACCAUAGGAUGAGCCCAAGUGGGAUUAGGUAGUUGGUGGGGUAAAGGCUCACCAAGCCGACGAUCUCUAGCUGGUCUGAGAGGAUGACCAGCCAAACGGGGAUGGGGACACGGCCCAGACUCCUACGGGAGGCAGCAGUGGGGAAUAUUGCGCAAUGGGGGAAACCUGACGCAGCCAUGCCGCGGGGAUGAAGAAGGCCUUCGGGUUGUAAAGUUCUUUCGGUAGCGAGGCGUUACCUGCAGAAGAAGCACCGGCUAACUCCGUGCCAGCCGCCGCGGUAAUUC
rnacentral:rRNA from 1 species